UAGACAAUACGAUAGACAUGAUUUUUUAUUUUUUUCCCUUAAUACUACCUAAUCUUGUUUGGUACUAGGAAUGUCAACGAGUUGAAUCGAACCAACUUGUGAAUCGAAGUAAAAUUAAGACGGAUUUUUUUGGUCCAAGUUGAGCAAAAGCUCGACGAAAAAUUCGAGGCUCGACCUGAGCUUUCGGCUCGGGCCUUACCGAGUCGAGUAGGCUCAAUUUUUUUUAUAUGACUGGCAACACAUAUUGCCUUUUUAAAGGCACCUCUCUAUUGCCUUUUUUUUUUUAACGAGCCAGCUCGGGGCUCAGCUCGAUACCCAAAAUGGGGGCUCAGGUUGAGCCUCGAGUUGGGCUAGAUCAGGCUUUUUCCCAAUCGAGCCAUGGGCAGCCUGAGCCGCGAGAGCUAAAUUGCCAUCUCUAUCUGGUACUGAAUAUCAAAAUUGCCACACAACCAUUUGGGUAUGAACUCAUUAGUAUUUAUGUUGGGAUGGAAUCUCCAAGAAAGUUACCAAGAUCAAUGGAGCGAGCUCAAGCAAUUUGGGUACUGUAGGAAAAACUCUUACAAUAACUGUUCUAUUAGUUAGUAGAAAGAGGGGAAAAUGUUCUAAAAUUGUGGCUUUGUAUAAAUAUAGGACCUUAGGCAAUGUCUCACCUGCCUAAGGGUUGAGCCACCUUUAGAUUAGGUAUGAAAAGAUGAUAUCAAGAAAAUUAACAGUUCUCAAUCUAAACUAAUUUCAACGAAAGAUUAACAGCCAUCAUGGAAAAUUUUCUUUUCUACUACAGUCUAACAGUAUGUUUCACUACGAUUAUUAAUUAGUCA
rnacentral:lncRNA from 1 species